UGGUGUUUACACUAGACUGAUGAGUUGCGAACGGGUGAGUAACGCGUAGGUAACCUGCCUCAUAGCGGGGGAUAACUAUUGGAAACGAUAGCUAAUACCGCAUAAGAGUGAUUAACACAUGUUAGUUAUUUAAAAGGAGCAAUUGCUUCACUGUGAGAUGGACCUGCGUUGUAUUAGCUAGUUGGUGAGGUAAAGGCUCACCAAGGCGACGAUACAUAGCCGACCUGAGAGGGUGAUCGGCCACACUGGGACUGAGACACGGCCCAGACUCCUACGGGAGGCAGCAGUAGGGAAUCUUCGGCAAUGGACGGAAGUCUGACCGAGCAACGCCGCGUGAGUGAAGAAGGUUUUCGGAUCGUAAGGCUCUGUUGUUAGAGAAGAACGUUGGUAGGAGUGGAAAAUCUACCAAGUGACGGUAACUAACCAGAAAGGGACGGCUAACUACGUGCCAGCAGCCGCGGUAAUACGUAGGUCCCGAGCGUUGUCCGGAUUUAUUGGGCGUAAAGCGAGCGCAGGCGGUUCUUUAAGUCUGAAGUUAAAGGCAGUGGCUUAACCAUUGUACGCUUUGGAAACUGGAGGACUUGAGUGCAGAAGGGGAGAGUGGAAUUCCAUGUGUAGCGGUGAAAUGCGUAGAUAUAUGGAGGAACACCGGUGGCGAAAGCGGCUCUCUGGUCUGUAACUGACGCUGAGGCUCGAAAGCGUGGGGAGCAAACAGGAUUAGAUACCCUGGUAGUCCACGCCGUAAACGAUGAGUGCUAGGUGUUAGGCCCUUUCCGGGGCUUAGUGCCGCAGCUAACGCAUUAAGCACUCCGCCUGGGGAGUACGACCGCA
rnacentral:rRNA from 1 species